AGAGAUCUAAGAGCCAAAAAAGAACAAUGAAAAACUUCCUUGCAUCUCUUCAUCAUAUCUCUUCUUCCCGACUUCUCCUAAAGCUUGGGUUACGAGCUAAAUUAACUAUAUAGUUCGAGAUUUGAGGAAGAUGACCUAAAAACUUCGUCUCUUUUUCAAAUUAGAAACAUUGGUUGUUGCUAAAUCAAAAUAGCCUUCAGUUUGGGGAAUCUCAGUAGCUCCCAUCCAAGGUUCAAUUCUCCACCCACAUUGUAAUUUAAUCCCCAUUUUUCCUACCCCGAUUUUAUAAAAAAGAAAAAAAAAGAAUAGCCUUCAAUUCUCCCUAUUCACUUUCAAUAAUAUUUUUGCAGAGAAGCGUAUGCAUUCGAUACAGUUCUUUUACUAUUUUCAGCUUUCUUAACAGUUGCUUUUUGAUCUCUUUGUAGGUGCUGAUGUUUCAACAAACACUUAGAGCUUGUAAUCUUUAUGAUUGUGAACCUGAAGGUAUAUAUGAUUAAUUCCAGGUAUAUACUAUCAUAUUUUCCGGAAAGCAGUAGCAAGUUACUUUUUUUUCAUUGUUCCUUUUGGUAUUUUUUUCUUUGUUCUUCUUAUGAUAUUUAUAUGUUAUAUAUUCAAAUUUUCAUUUAGAUGGUGACUUUUGAUGAAAUAAUUUUUUUUUGAUGAAAAGAUGAUGGUGACUUAGAAUUAUAUGCUUGCGAAACUUUGAGGAUAGGAAGUUUUAUUCCACUUUUGGAUUUGAGUUGCUCAUAUGAACUUCCACAGAAGCUAUCGCAUUUAUCACUAGGUUUUAGAGGGUGACUCCAGCCCCACCUCUAUUUAGAUAUUGCAAUUUCAUUAAUGAAAAAUCAUAUGUAUAGGACCAACAGGGCCAGUGGCUAUGACUAAAAUAUAUUUUAGAAGUUCAUAGAGGUGUAUUUAGUAUUUACAAUUUAGGCUAUUUAGGCUUUAAACAAUUGUUUAAAUAUGUCAGAGAUGAAGUCAUAUUUGAGAAAUAUGUCAUAAGCUAUUUCCAAUUAUUCUAUUAUCCAUUGUUUUGACUCUUGGGAAGCAAUAAGAAUAAGAUUAAAGGAAGUAAGCACUAAAGUAUUGAAUAGAAAAACAUAGUUAUAAGAUGUGGCAUAGUUUUUUUCCUAAAGAAUAAUUGUCCGCCACAAUUAUAGAUGGAUAGCUUAAGUUGUAUGGAAUAAGAAUGUCAUCUAUUGUACCUUAUGUUUUCAAACACAAUUGGCAUGUGGGAGAAAGUCUUACCAUAUGACCUAAUCGAAUAAAUUACUAUCUAAUAUUUGCAGUAUUUUUCUUAAUCUAUGAGGGUAAAAGUUGCCUUGUUAUUUGGGACCAAGGGAUUGCUUGUUCUUCACUAAAUUAGUUGAUCUAUAAAAAGAGUACCUAUGAUGAAAUAACAAUCAGUUUAUUUUUUUUAAAAAUGAUUGGUGAAUGCCAAGAGAAUCCCAUGUUCUAGGGGUUUGGUUCAACAGUAAAUGUUGUGCUAUGUGGAACGCGAAAAUGUGCUAGGUGUACAUCACACGUUUGAAGUUUGGGUGUUAUAUCAAAUUUUGUAUUUAAUUGAAUAACAACAUUGUGAUAAAUCCAUUAUCUCAGUAGUUUCUCGGUCAUAAAAAAUAUUUGACGAGAGAGUCCACAAGAUCAUGCUGUUAGGACAAUGUUCCAAUUUCAGCUUCCAAUUUCGUUUUUAGAGGGUUGUACAGAGGUGAUAAAUGAUUUUAAGAUCCAUGGGUAUUUAUGCUUGUCAUGUCUCAUAAUCCAGGACUAUGUUGCUCGGACUCUUUAAAAAUGUCAAGAGGUGCAUGUCGGAUUCGCCAAAAGUAGUGCAUUUUUGAAGAAUUCAUUUGUAGUUUUCAUGAUUCAUUUUUCUUGAUAUUAGGCUCGAACAAGCAGAACAAAAUCGCUAAGAAAAUCUCGAGUACAUUUAGUUGUCAAGCGUCAUUGCUGAAGAACUUAUAGCAUGUCACCUAAUAUCUGAAAAAUUCUCAGAUAUAUUGCUCUUUUUUCCUGAAAUUUUUCAAUAGGGAAGCACCAUUCUUCAGGCGAUAUGGUAAUACCAUUAUCUACGAGCAACAAUAUCUAUAAAUGUAUAACAAUUUUUCAGAUGCUUCUCCUACAAAAUGAUCAGUUGAGCAUCUUUCGAAGAUCUGCAAUCAGCCAUACUGCAAAUGCAGUU
rnacentral:lncRNA from 1 species